rnacentral:lncRNA from 1 species
GAUUUGGGUGACAUUUGAGACGCAGCCACACAUCCACAUGCGUCCAGGCUCCUGGGACAUGGCGGCGGCCUCUGUGGUAUCGGUGCUGCUGGCGGCGUCUGAGAGGAACCGGUGUCCGGAGCCCGGUGCUGCUGCUGCUGCUGCUGCCGAGGCAACGGCAGUUUUGGCAUUUGGAGACUAUAUGGGAGCAACUUGUCUGUGCCUGCCUUGUGUGGAAUCAGUGCUCCCAAUGAAAUGCAAAACCUGCAGGCUGAUAGAGGAGGCAGCACACAACGUCCAGGGAGAGCAUUGAUAUGUUAAAUAGAAGAUAUCUUUUCUCUAGAAGAAAGUCUCGGCAACCCACUGUUAAGUAAGACUUUUUUUCGUUUUACAAAAUGGAUCAAGAUGCUUGUUUUGGAUGAAUUCAGUAAAAAUGUUGAGCCAAAGGAUUAAAGGUCAAAUCCAUGAGAUUUACCGGAAAUCAAAUCUGGAUUCAGGCUGUAUUGUUUUCUGCCUUAAUGCUAAUCGAUAUAUUGAAAAUCAUCAAAAAGUUCCCAAGAGAUCCAUUUCAAAUUCCGGUGAAGAAGGAAGAACUGAACUUUGAAAAGGCCAAAAUGUUACAAUAAUUUUGAAAGAGGAAUUGUUCAGAGUUGAUUUGGGAGGAAAGCAAUGGCCGUAAGUGUUGAAGAAGACAAGGAGGUUCUUUGUGAUACUGAUACUUUCUACAAUACUGCAGUGGAGGAAACGCCAGUGGGUAUGACGGACCUUAUUAAAUCCUGGGAUGAAAUGGUUUUGAAUGUGAUGCUUGCUGUUGCAGUGCAGGUGAUCAUGAUGUGCACUGUGCUUCUUUUGCAGGGGGCGGGGGGGUUGCGGGAGGAAUAUUUGAAGCUUGUUUCAAUGCUCAUAACGGAUCAAAAAUAUAGAUUUUGCUGCAAAGCAACUUUAGUCAUGAGCUCUUUUGAGGAAAGUCAUUGCCUUUAUCCUCUUUAGAGUUAGAUUGUUGGUUGGGUCUAAGGGAUUGUGAACAUCUUCCUUAGCAAUUUAUUUCCUAGUUAUCUAAAUAAUAAUUAUAUUGAGUAUUUGUUAUCAUCUAAUAAUAUACUUACAGACUGAAAGAUAUGUGCCUUCAGUGUUUAAACUAGUGUAUCUGCCAUUAUUGUGUUAGUCAUCAGGCUGAGUAGAAUGAACUUUAAAAUUAUUUUUUAAGAAAAUAUUUGAAUUCAUUUUGUUUGGUAUCAUUUUUAUUCAGUAAGGCAUUUAUUUUGUUAGUGGUAAGUGUAAACUAGAGUCUUUUGCUAAGCACCAGCAACAAUCAUAUCCUAUGGUUAAAUCUCAGAAAAAUCGCUAUAUUGCAUAUUGAAUGUUCAGCAAAUUACAAUGAAGUAUAUUUUUCUUUA